rnacentral:rRNA from 1 species
CCUACGGGAGGCAGCAGUGAGGAAUAUUGGUCAAUGGGCGCGAGCCUGAACCAGCCAAGUAGCGUGAAGGAUGACUGCCCUACGGUUUGUAAACUUCUUUUAUAAAGGAAUAAAGUGAAACACGUUUGCCUUUUUGUAUGUACUUUAUGAAUAAUGAUCGGCUAACUCCGUGCCAGCAGCCGAGGUAAUCCGGAGGGUCCGAACGUUAUCCGGAUUUAUUGGGUUUAAAGGGCGCGUAGAAGGGUUGUUAAGUCAGUUGUGAAAGUUUGCGGCUCAACCGUAAAAUUGCAAUUGAUACUGGCAGUCUUGAGUACAGUUGAGGUAGGCGGAAUUCGUGGUGUAGCGGUGAAAUGCUUAGAUAUCACGAAGAACUCCGAUUGCGAAGGCAGCUUACUAAACUUCCACUGACAUUGAUGCUCGAAAGUGUGGGUAUCAAACAGGAUUAGAUACCCUGGUAGUC